GUCAGUUGCUUGAGUGAGGGUGUUCUUUUUGGUGGAGAUUACGUGUCUGUCGGCAAAGACUUAUUUUGUUUGUUUGUUAAUAUAAUCGUGGUUUGCGGUUGGAGUUGUGUACAGCAGGCAACGUUAGAAAUUACCAGGAGGAUAGUGCUAGCUGACCGGGAGGAGCCAACCGCGGUUAAACUAAUUCAUCUUGCCGCCCCUCCGAAAUUCGUUGAAGAAAUUAAUUCAAACUCGUAGUCCGGUGUUGGACCCACCAGAGACACUGGAUCUAAGGCGGGGAGACGGAUCCCUCAUCGUGCUACUGUGUGCCAUGUGGUCGGCUGUAACCAACCUCGCCAUAGGAUGUUCCCUAUCUACUCAUUGGAGGUAGUGGCAGGACACCCGCUCCACCUGUCACAGGCUCCGUGACUGAGAGAAACCAUUUCUGCAAAUCUGUUUGAGUGAGCUGGAUGAAAGUCUGCUGACAAUACAGCCUCCCCCUCAGGGCCUGAUUUUGGCUGGCCUGGCAGACCUGAGUCGACCUGCUGACAAGCUGAGUACCAUCCAGUCUGCAGUACUGACUGCCACAGGUACAGCACUGGAGUGGGGUGCUGCAAUUUUGGUACAUUGUGUACGGGGAAAACGAGGUGAGAUUUGGCAGAAGUGCAGCACUCCUUGGCUAUGUGACCAACCUGUGAUAGCUUACCAUGGUGGUGAAUGGUGCAGGAAUUGUUGAUAUGAGUUUUUAUAUCAGCCCAUCUCUCACCCAGGCUUCAUGUGGGCCAGAUACUCUCUGAUAAUUGUCCUAAAGAACUGCAACCUUUUUACAGUAACAUUUGUUGGUGCUUCUGACAGUUUCCAGCUGUUCAGAAUCUGGAGGUGAGUAGGCCUCUGCUGCUGAAGCAGAAGGAACCGGAGGCAGCAGCGCAGUACUGAGCUCCAACCUUUCCAUCUGGUCCCAUAGACUAAAAGGAUAUCUGACCACUUGACUCCACUCCCCUCCAACCCUGUCCAAAUCUUUAACCGGAAAAUAUUUAUUUCAUUGCUUAAACAUUGGUCCUUAGUACACCCCUCUCCAUGUGCAGACUCCAGGCACACAAAGUACUGCCAGCACCAAGACCAGGAUGGGCUGCAUGGGAGCCAGAGCAAAGCUGAACAGGGAGACCAUUAAAGAUGCCCAGGGAACAGAACAGACUGGACUUGGCCCAAUUGUAGUUCCUUAGAGGCAGUUCCAGAACCUCAGACUAGGGCUGUGUCUGAAUUUUGGAGCUGCAAACUUUGAAGGACACGGUCUAUGAAUGAGUAGCCUUGAGUCAUGAAGCGUUUCUCCUAUUGCCUAGCCUGGACACACCUACUUUACCUCUGUGCAAUGAGUCUUGGGAUAUGGUGGACUGUGAAGUAUCCAUCAGGUGGAUCCUUCGCGACUUGACAAAAGGAAGACCUGUUUCUACACUGCAUUUGAAGGAAGCGUCGAAAUAGGACUGCUUUGUCACACCACUGUGACACACACGGACUUCAAAUGCAGUCUUCAAAGGAUGCACUCCCUGAAUUUGGACACAGCCUAGGCACUUACCAUUCGACCAUGAACUACUGGGGAGGCACUUACAGCGAUAACUUGCCAACAUCAGCUGUUUUUCUUAUUAAAAGUUUCAUCGCACUGAUAAAUUUCACCUUUCCUCCCAUUAUUGACAAAAGUUGCAGAGGCUGUAGCAAACUAGAAAGAUUAUGAAGAAACCCAAACUUUAAUCACACAAAAUAGUCCAAUUCCACCAUUCAUCCUUUUAUUGAAAAGGUGUAGAACCUACAGCAAACUAGGAAAAUUCUGAAGAAACUGAUCAUAAUGUAACCAAUCCAAAACUAAUCACUGCUCCAUGAUAGUAUUAGGCUUAGGUGCAUUAAUGGUUGCUGUCACCUUCUCAUCUGUAGGGUGCAGACCCUUUUUGUCAAUCUGAUGGUUUAAGUAUGCAAUGGUGCUUUCCAAAAAUUCGCAUUUCGAAAGUUUUACUGCAAUGCCGUACCUUUCCAGGCAAGUGAGGACUUCAUCUAGUUUUUGUACAUGUUCUUGCUUUGUGCUGGCAGUGAUCAGGAUAUCGUCAAAAAAAUAACAUGUGAUGUGAUCCAGUCCCUGAAGUAUCUGGUGCGUCUGCUGCACUAGCUCCAGUUUGCCCUGGCUGCAGUGGCAUCACCGCCUUCUGCCCACUGUGGGGUGCCCGCCCCUCGCUGGGCCUCGCCGCCUUCUCUGCCAUCACCUCCUCUUCCCGGCCACUGACUGAAAAGACGGCACAAUUAGGGCCAUGAGCCCCACAGCAUCAACUUCUCGAACUUCUCUGAAAAAACAGGACAGGACUUUCAGUAUAUUUACAGACAAAUAUUUUACUUAAGUAGAAAGGCCACUUUUACUAGAGCACAUUUCCCUGUUUACUUCUGCUUCUACUGCAUCAUUACCAGAAUUUUUUUAAUAUAUAAGGGUUAAAAACAUCAACUGUUAUUGAUUUAUGCAACCACAUUUGACUGCCACAUAAAAAUAGUUUUUGUGGUAAAUAAGAUGACAGGGUUGCAAUCUUUGGUCAGCUGGCUGGUGUGAGAUUGUCAAUUUGAGACAAGUCUGCACUCACAUUUACAUGUAUGUAACAGAUUUAUUACAGUACCAUGUAAAUGGUCUGUAGGGUUUGAUGUAGCUAAUUUUUGGUUUGUAAUGGAAUAAUAUAGAUUAGCUGUAGGACUUCUUGCUUGAGCAUGAGGGUCUGACUGCGUGUAAUGCCAGGCGCAUAAGAAUUGGCAAUCUUGAGAUAACUGUCCUACACAGCUAUUUAAUGCUGGUUUGGAGAGUGCAUAAAAUCAGAACAGAGUGCAUAAAAUCUUGCAGCCCAUGUACUAAAGACAAACUGGCAUUUAGAGUUUGCACUUACACUCUGGGCUCCUUGUGUAGUCCGAAUUAUAGGGUUCCUGGGUCUGGACAGCCCUCCUGCUGCAGUGUGCAGGGGAUGGGUAAAUUAAUGUAAUUUACUGGGGCACCAUCCAGCCCAGCCCAGCCCCUUCUAGGAAUCAUAAAACAGCAUAUUAUACCUCCUCACAGCUGUCUUGUACUCCAUACGUUCCCAGAGCUGAUCCUUCUGCUUUCGGAAGCCCUCUCCCGAACCUGAUGCCGGUUCUCCCUGACUAUUAGUCCUCGAAUCUCCAAUUUAUUAUUUGUAUGCCCUCAGUUGCGGAGGAUUGCGAACACCUGUCAGGUUCGCUCUUGUGUGGGGGGGUGUUACGUGCCGUAAGGUUAGGGGAGGGAUUGUCCUGCAGAUCCUGAUCGUUGCCCAGCUCCCUUCGACUCCGCCUCCCGGACCUGGCCACGCCCCAACCUUCGAGUGUUGAAAAAGCCGUGGCGGGAAAUUAGCGGGAGCUCUGCUCACUGUUGGUUGUUAUUGGAUCGCUUGUGUGUUGAUUAAUUGUGUAUGACAGAUUUCUGGUUUCCUGGUUUUGACUCUCGCUUUGCCCCUUCGGUACCUUUGCCUUUGGUUUUGAUUGUUUACUGGUUUUGAUCUCUUGCCUUCCUCCUGACUACUCUCUUUGCCUCGCCCUUUUGGUUACUGUGUUUCGGCUUUGGUGUGUUCUGUAUGUUCGUUUCUGUUAAGUGCGUAGGGAGUGACUGCUAUUUUGUUUUGCGUACGUGUGGCUUAUUCUGUGUUUUGGUUAGGGAGUUAGGCUUAGUCUGUGUCAUUUCUUUUUCUCAUCUUUUCGUUUUGUUUAGAAUUAGUUUAGUUGGGGACGUGUUCGGUAGUGCUGUUUUGUUUAUUGUUUUGGCUGUGUCACUCCCGAAGUCUGUGGCCCUAUUUUUUUGUGAAAGUCUUUGCGAAUAAACAUAUAAAAAUACAAAAAAAGAU